ensembl:lncRNA
GUGGGCGGGAUGAGAGAGUUUCACGACCCGGUUCCAGCAGCGGCGUGGGCAGCAUCGCUAAGCGUGAUUAAUGCCGGGGGAGGCGGGCAGGCCGAGCGGUGCUGAUAAGCGAGGGCUGGCGGAGCCGAGAACAGAAAGGAACCACUGUCAGUCACCGCCAGAAAUCCCCCCCCCUCCACCACCAGCCCCCCUACAAAGAAAAGGACGUGAUAAAUCGUGUGCACCACCUGCUGCCACCUCCGCUGGCUCCGAGCGUGGGAUACCUGGGAGGAGGUCGGCGCUGCGUGAGAUUUCCAGCCUUAUUUAUUGGAGCUCGUAAUUCAGAUGAGAAAAUGGAAAAUAUAUACGUCGUGCGUCUCUCAUCCCAGCUGCCUCCCAGGCUGCGUGCUGCUCCCUCCCUCCCUCCGGGCUCCUGGCAGCUGAGAGCUGCAGGAAUCCAGAUGAUCCGGGAAGCUUUGCUUGGAAGGAUCCAUGGGGGGGGGAAAGGAGGAGGGGGGGGGGGGGGUGAGGAGGGAUGCUGUAACAGGAAGGAUCUGGGUGGGAGAGGUGCGCAGUGGUUCCGAUGCUCGGGUUGGAGCCGUGCUGGGGAACGGUCCGGCUGCAGAAUGGAGGGGAGUGUUGCACGCUGAGGCUUGGCAGAGGGAUGGGAGGAAGGAAGGAGGAAGAGCCCCGUGGAAGGGCUGUGGCUUUCGGCAGCCUUGUGAAAAUCUGGGCCGGUUUGGGUGAUGCUGAAGCUGUUUAUAUGGGAUGGGAUGGAGUGGGGUGGGGUGGGAUGGAGUGGGGUGGAAUGGGAUGGAAUGAGAUGAGAUGGGUUGGGAUGAGAUGGAAUGAAAUGAGAUGAAAUGGGAUGGGAUGAGAUUGGAUGGGAUGGGAUGGGGGUGGAGCGGAGUGGAACAGAAUGGGAUGGGGUGGGGUGAGAUGAGAUAGAGUGGGAUGGGAUGGAGCGAGAUGGGUUGGGAUGGGGCGAAAUGGAACAGAGUGGGAUGAAAUACAAAAAGUAGAAGAGAAUGGAGUAGAACAGAACAGCUGGAAGUUCCUACAAAGAUCAAGCCCAACUUCUUGGUUAUCUACCACCUCAUUCCACAUCGUUCCCAUUGACAUGGUGCAGGAUGUCUCUCCUUCAGCGACCUGCAAACCAAAGCAGCGCUGUGCACGUUGCACCUCGAGUCAGAGAGGGCUUUCCUGACCAUGCAGGGUUGGGUGUCUGCAGGGCAGAGCUCACAGCAAAGGGAUGGGUGUGCAGAGGGCGAGCUGGGGAGCAGGGCAGGACUGCAGGAAAGCCAUUGCAGGGAGGUUUGCCUCUAAAUAAAGGGGCAAAUGGAAAGGGUGGGAGCCUCCUCGUGGGUCUGGGGCUGCAGAAGCUCCCGCAGCCCCUCGCUGGCUAAAGGGCUCUCGCACUGCGGCUCCGGCGGUGGUACAGCCCGGGAGGGUAAUGGGUAUUGGAUUGCUCCCUUAGGUCUGUUCUUGAACCUAAUCCUCAUUAGACUGAAACCCAUUUCAAUUAAGAUAGGCCGGGCUCCUCCUUUGUCUUUCUUUUAAUUGGACCGUUCCCGCUGCUAAAUGGGCAGCUUAAGCAUCCCAAAGACCCUGAGAAAAGCCCGGCGUGUCCCCUAAUGGGGUUUGAAAGUGGAGAAAUAACAGCAUAAUCAGUCUCUUCCUCUUUGUGUCGGCCCCCGGCUCACACCGCGGCCUCCCCCCCCCCCCCCCUUCACACCCAUUCACCGGGCGGCCUCUGACAGAUGGGAACGGGACCGCCGCUUCAAUGGGGUUUGUCGGGGGGCUUUCAUGGGCCCUGUGCCAUUCUGCGGUAUUCUCCUCCUUCUCGGCCUUUGUGCGGGGAGGGGAACAAGCUGGGAAAGCCGGGGCCGUGCUGUAGAUACCUGCUUCACCCCAUGCAUCCAUCCCAUUGCACAUCCUCCCCCCCCCAGUGUCUGUGCAUCCUUCCCUCUCUGCCACCGCUGCCCUGCAGGGCUGAGGUUCCUGCAGGCAUUGGGGCAUUGCAUGCAUCUCACAGCUGCCAUCUGCAAAAGGCAGCUCCUGCUCCCCUGAAACCCUGCAUGCAAUGCACAGUGCUCGAGUGUCAGGCAUGCAAGAGCUGUUUGCUUAUGCAGUGACCAGUGGGGUGCUCACAAGCAAGGGCUCGGCGUGAUGCUGCUGGGUGCUGAUGCGUGAGCAAAUUGGGUGCUCGGCUGUGCUGCAAAGGUGCACUCGUGCAUGUGGUGGUUGGGAGCUGGGGCAGAGCUGGCAGCUCUGAUGUGAACCCAUUGGCUGCUCGAGUGCGACGUAAUCGAGCAAUCAAAUGUGAAUUAAUUGGGUGUUCAUGCAAGAACGAAUCAGGUGCGUAUGUGAGUACUUCGUUGGGCCCUUGUGCAUGAGUUAGGUGGGUGGGCUGAUUGGGACACAAAAGGGGCACGAGAGAAAAGUCAUCACUCUGCUCCACGGGGGAAAUCCAACAGCACAUUGCACUGCAGCUCUCCUCUCUCCGUAGGAUGGGAUGGAGCAGGGGCAGAGCCGCAGCCACACUCCAUGUGGGAUGGGAGGGAUGGAGGGAUGCGGUGCUGGAGCUGUCUCCCUGGAAACCACCAUCCCGGCCCUCCUGCUGCUCUUUAAUUGCUUCUUCUCCGUCUCUUUCUUUUUCUCCCCAUCAGGGAAUGUGGGGUGUCCGUCCCCUUGGCCCAACCCAUGGCACAUCAGUGCAGAAGGGCGCGCUGUUAGGGCAGCUGCAGCUGUGCUUCAGUAUGGCUUGGCGAUGGGGGUCAGGGAGAGGGUGUGAUACCUUCUCCCAAAGAGACACUCAGAUGGGGAAAAGAUGGGGGUUCCCACCUCGUUCUCAUUCUUCUCCCCAACUAUGGCACCCUAAAUGCUGUCUUAAAGUGGAACAUCCCAAUGCACUCCAAGGAGAGAGCUGUAGGAUGCACUCAUAGAUGUUGUGCUGAGGGGUUUAGAAGGGAAACAGUGCUGGUGGGAAUAUGGUUGGCUUGGAUGAUCUCGGAGGUCCUUUCCAGCCUUGUGACUCUGCGCUGCAGUGAAGGGGGGAUUAAAGCCCUCAGCAUUCAGGCUCCGGGCGCAGGAAACAGCAGCUUUUCUUCUGGCUCGAGUUGGAAAGACACGGCCCCUCUGUUCUGCUGAAAGCCCCUGGUUGCUGAAUGACCCCCGGCCCUGAAUGAAGUGCCUCUCAAUUAAAAGUUUCCCAUUGACGCCGCCUGAAUGAGAACCUCGCCGUGGAAUUCACCCCGCCUGAAUGGCAUCAAAUAUGACGGGGCCAAUAGAUUUCCCACAAUAUUUGUACACCUUCCUUUGUGGGGAUUUUUCCCUCCGCUGAACCAGAAACCGUUAACACAUCCGCUCCACCCCCCCCCCAUCCCAACAACCCCUCCUUCUUUCCCCCCCCCCCGCCUAUCGUUAGGGGGCUGCGGUGGCACCGGGGACGGCCACCUGUUUGGGUCCAUCCUAUGGGAGAAGCUCGAAAUCCCAUGGAUGAAUCAAUGGGGAGAGAGAGAGGGGCACCGUCACCUGUCCAGAGAGAGGGGCUGUGGGGGCAUCGCCUCUCCUGGUGGUCCCAGGGUGGGAAAGGAGACCCCCAACCCCCCCCUCACCCCCAGCCCCAUACAAAAGGAGAGUGCCCUUAGGCCCCGGGCUCCCUUCUGCCCAUGAACAAAGCCCUGGGAUGCUUGAACAGCGCUGACAGCUCCGAUUGUGGCAGCGGGGCUGCCCCCCACCCCUAUUAAUGAUGCUAAUUAGAAAGCACG